rnacentral:rRNA from 1 species
CCUACGGGGGGCAGCAGUAGGGAAUAUUGCUCAAUGGGGGAAACCCUGAAGCAGCAACGCCGCGUGGAGGAUGAAGGUUUUAGGAUUGUAAACUCCUUUUGUGAGAGAAGAUAAUGACGGUAUCCAACGAAUAAGCACCGGCUAACUCCGUGCCACCAGCCGCGGUAAUACGGAGGGUGCAAGCGUUACUCGGAAUCACUGGGCGUAAAGAGUGCGCAGGCGGGCUUGUAAGUCAGAUGUGAAAGCCUGUGGCUUAACUACAGAACUGCAUGUGAAACUAUGAGUCUAGAGUAUGGGAGAGGUAGGUGGAAUUCUUGGUGGAGGGGUAAAAUCCGUAGAUAUCAAGAGGAAUACUCAUUGCGAAGGCGACCUACUGGAACAUUACUGACGCUCAUGCACGAAAGCGUGGGGAGCAAACAGGAUUAGAUACCCGGGUAGUC